GAGGGGCGGGGCCAGGCUCGGGCGGCCGGGGAGGAGCAGCCCGGGCCGGCAGGGCGCUCCCAGGCCUUCGCCUGCCUGCCGGGCCCCGGGAGCAGUGAGCUGGGAUGGAACCGCAGCUCUGUGGAGACGCCGAGUCAGGAAAGCUGAACCACUGUCAGACCAGACGUCUGCCGUAAGCACAGCCCCGGGCCGUCGACCGUAGAGCUUUUUCAUUCACUCCCUCCCCAAAACAAAAAAAGUUACACAUCCUUUUCCUGUGGGCGAGGGUGCCCCAGAGAUCCAGGCAAUUUAUCUGGUGAUACACCAACAGGGAUGCCAUUCUCCCCAUCACUAAGCUGUUCAUCUGGAAACACUUCAUCUGUAUUUUCUCGAAAAUAAAUCUGGAAAAAAAACUUCACACUGAUUCUAGCCAACAGUUAUCAAAAUGCCUGAAAGCAGACCCUGGGUGCAAUGUUGUGGGACUAGCCUUGGAGUCCAAAGGAAAGAGGAGACAGCGAUCUCUAAAGCCCAUCAAGACAUUCUAAUGCACUUUGACUUGGGCAUUUAAAAAUAACCUGUGUUCUGGCUUCUCCUGGUUGCCUUUGCCACUUCCUCAAAUCUCUCUCCAGAUACCAGUCAAGGACGGCCCUUACACAUGACUGUUGUAUGACUGGAAUUAAUGAUGUACUCUUGAGGUCUUUUAGAUACACCCAAUGGAGGAAUAUCCCAACUGCUACACCUAAACCCUCAUUUAGCUGGAAGAAGCCAGACCAGUCAUUGCCCUAAUUCUAUAACGGCAGUUAGGGUUAUUUCGGGGGUAGGUGGGUGAUGAAACUAGGAGGUAAAAUUUGGCUAGGAAGUUUAGGGUAAAAAGACCCUAAAGAAAAGUAACCAGAAUUGUUCCUGUAUUUCUUGGCAGCCUCAUCCUUGCCAAACUUCAGAGAUGCCAAAAGGGACUUUGAUCUCUGAUCUGGCUUCUAUAUGGUUCUUUAAAAAAAACCUUUUCAAAGGAGGAGAAUGUUGAAGUAGAAGUUUGUUAGGCAAAAACUUCUGAUCAAGAGCACAAACUCAGCCUGGAUGGAAACCUAAUUUUCCAUUUGGAAUAGGUCAAUCGCCUGGCCAAGGCGCCACCCCUAUAAAGGCAGCAUUGCCUUAAGCCCUGCUGAAGAGUUAGUUCCUUAUGUCACGGGGCUCCUCCAAAUGAUUCCCAGUCACUUUCUGUCUGUACAGACUUCACAAAGUCAGCAUGCUGGCUGAACCUUAAGAAAAAAAUGAAAAUGUAUAAUAAAAAGGCAAGAAUUCUAAGAAAUGUUUGGU